rnacentral:sRNA from 1 species
UUUUGUACUUUUUUUUUGGGGAAUCCCUCAAGCAAUGCAAGCUAAAAUCUCUUCAUAAUGCACAAGGUCCAGAAAAUAUAUGUACAUCCAAAUGCUUCUAGACGGGGCAAAUAAAAUCGAUUUUGUGUCACUUGCCACGGUGGCAUUUUCCUCUAUGUGUGCAGCCGGCAAAAAGAUAGACUGAACGAGAAAAUACUCUUUGCUCUCGGGGGCUUCCCCUUUUCGGAGGUAAAACUUACUUUUUUGGGGUCUGGGGCAUUGCUUUGCAUGUGCGGGGGUAUGGGACAUACACAUUCGUAAGGGAUUGUAGUUGCUGCCUCGGGCAGGAGUUGAAACAGCUUCCAGACUGUGCGUGCAAGAUAAGAACUGGGAAAAGAGGAAAAGUCUUGCGAAAAACACGACAAAAGGGGCGUCUGCCUCGCAGUUUCCUGCUGCAAGUGUACUUGUGUGUGUGUGUGAGUUCUGUCUGCCCUGCAGCAGGAUAUCCGGUUUGCAAUGUAUUCACACAGACAGUCGGUGGAAUGGGUACUGCGAUUGGUUUCGGCCAUCAGUCGAUUGGAUAGAACGCUAUUAAAUAGCAUUAGCUCGAAAUGUUGCAAAUUAAAAUGUGUCACUGUAGGUAGGUAAAUUAAUUCAGAUAUGUUCAUUUCAAUUAUCAAACUUUUUUCAUAGCACCAAAGAGUUAGUAUAAUAAAGAUAACAUCAAGCUUAAAUAGGUUGUUCGAUUAAAUAUCUUAAAGGGCUUACUGAAAAAGGAUUCUAGCUUUUAUUAUAAAAUAAUAUAUGCACCCAACUAGCUAAUUGCAUCAUUCAAUGUCUCUGAUUUCUAUGUAAAUUUGAUGAUCAAAUUCCAACUGACAAAAAAUAGUAAACAAGAACAUUAGAGGAAUAUAAAAAAUAAUUUAUGUAGCUCGCUUUUAGGCGAAACUAUCAAUUUACAAUGAAGUAAAGAAAGCUUUUUAGACGUAAAGAGCGCAAUUUAGCCAUUGAAUUUUAUGCGCAGGCCAGCGUAAAAAUUACACAAACAAUUACCGAGUGAUGACAUGCUUUUAGUGAUAAUGCUUCAAAUGUCCCCGGAUCUGCUGACCGCAGCAAUACCAAAAAAAAAAAAAUAUAAACUCUCUGGUGGAUGCCGAAAAAACAGGACAUAAAAUCUACAGCUGCAUAAAAGCCUCUUUCGAUUAACAUAAAAUUAGCAUUCCAAUUCAAUUUAUUUUUAUAUACGGCCUGCCAUUUCCCCCCUUUCUGGACAAAUGGGUUGAAGUUAUUUACGCGAUUUCGGCCGCCUUUCCAUUUGCUACCAAACAACAAGAGGCGAGAGCCAAGGCAACAUUUACAUUCGCAAAAUGUGGCUAAAAAAAGAAGAGGGCUAAAUUCAUGGGAAUCCUCGAGUGUGUGUGUGUGUGUGCUUGUGUGUGUGGGAGGGUGCCGGGAAAUGUAAGUGGUCAUAAUAAUAAAAAUAAUGAUGCCAGCAAUAAAGCUGAUUCAAGUCCUCUCGGCGGGAGUCCAGGAGCGAGCUGGUUAUUGGCUCGAUAGGCCUGGAGUGCCGGCGACGAUUUGCGUAAAAAAUGGCAGGGUCCUUGCGCAGAUAAAAAAGCAAACACCAGCAAACGAAAUGGCAAAGGCCGGAAAAGCAGCUCGAAAAGGCCGAGGGGAGAGAGUGGAAUUGGUCAAACGGCAUGGCCAAGGAAAUUUUCCUGCGAAUCAGCGUAUUUUUCAUGCUGCAGCGAUUAUUCACCACUGUGUCGGAAGGAAAGUGCACUGAAAAUAAGGAUAUUGGUAGUUAAUUUAGACAUACCGUCCCACCCACUCAAACCAGCAACCCGUGCGCCUCGUACAUCUCGGUAAAGUGUCAUAAAUUCAUAAUAACGCAAAUAAGCACCGGCACUGGAAGAACGCAAAACUUAUCGGAGGCAUCUAAAUCGGUGGGACCAGCAGCGACGGAAUCGGCUAAAGCCGUGGCCAAAGGCAUCCUGCCAAUAACAACAUCGAUGGGCUCGUCCUGUAUAUACGUUUGU